rnacentral:rRNA from 1 species
CCAGACUCCUACGGGAGGCAGCAGUGGGGAAUAUUGGGCAAUGGACGCAAGUCUGACCCAGCAACGCCGCGUGAAGGAAGAAGGCUUUCGGGUUGUAAACUUCUUUUAAGGGGGAAGAGGAGAAGACGGUACCCCUUGAAUAAGCCACGGCUAACUGCGUGCCAGCAGCCGCGGUAAUACGUAGGUGGCAAGCGUUGUCCGGAUUUACUGGGUGUAAAGGGCGUGCAGCCGGGCCGACAAGUCAGAUGUGAAAUCCGCGGGCUUAACCCGCGAACUGCAUUUGAAACUAUAGGUCUUGAGUGCCGGAGAGGUAAGCGGAAUUCCUAGUGUAGCGGUGAAAUGCGUAGAUAUUAGGAGGAACACCAGUGGCGAAGGCGGCCUGCUGGACGACAACUGACGGUGAGGCGCGAAAGCGUGGGGAGCAAACAGGAUUAGAUACCCCGGUA